CGCAAGAGGAGCGGCAGACGGGUAAGUAACGCGUGGGAAUCUACCCAUCUCUACGGAACAACUCCGGGAAACUGGAGCUAAUACCGUAUACGUCCUUCGGGAGAAAGAUUUAUCGGAGAUGGAUGAGCCCGCGUUGGAUUAGCUAGUUGGUGGGGUAAUGGCCUACCAAGGCGACGAUCGAUAGCUGUUCUGAGAGGAAGAUCAGCCACAUUGGGACUGAGACACGGCCCAAACUCCUACGGGAGGCAGCAGUGGGGAAUAUUGGACAAUGGGCGAAAGCCUGAUCCAGCCAUGCCGCGUGAGUGAUGAAGGCCCUAGGG
rnacentral:rRNA from 1 species